rnacentral:rRNA from 1 species
GACGAACGCUGGCGGCGUGCUUAACACAUGCAAGUCGAACGAAGUGGCGAACGGGUGAGUAACGCGUAAUCAACCUGCCCUUCAGAGGGGGACAACAGUUGGAAAAGACUGCUAAUACCGCAUACUGAAGGAUGGGAUUGCGUAUGAUUAGCUAGUUGGAGGGGUAACGGCCCACCAAGGCGAUGAUCAGUAGCAGGUCUGAUGGGAUGAGCGGCAAACUUGGGACUGAGACACGACCCAGACGACUACGGGAGGCAGCAGUGGGGAAGCGACCGAAAUGGACGAAAGUCUGACGGAGCAACGCCGCGUGAGUGAUGACGGCCUUCGGGUGGUAAAGCUCUGUUAAUCGGGACGCGGUACCGGAAUAGAAAGCCACGGCUAACUACGUGCCAGCCGCCGCGGUAAUAC